CCGCCUGGCCGGGCCCCGGCGGCGUCUGGGUCUGGCUGGGGAGGGUGAAGUCGGUGAACUCGAACUCGGAGCCCUGAGUGUCGGCGCCGAGCAGCUCGGCCUCCUCGGUGUCCAGGAAGGUUCAGCUGUGGCUGCAUAAAGUGUUCCCAAAACAAGGCAUGGAGAUGUCACUUGGAGCAGUGAAGGAAAGGGAGGAGAAGAUUUUGACAUUUCUCCAGUGGUCUGGAAUGGAAAAGGUCCUUGGAAAUUAAGGUGAUGAGGGACAUUAAAAGAUAACAUCAAUAUGUGAAAGCCAGGAAAUGGAACUCGCUGUUUCACUAAGCACCAAAAAGCCAAUAAACUUCUUAAAACGUAA